GCGGGGGUCGGGGAUUCGACUGCGCUACAUGGGUGCCAUUACUCCACCCCCUCCACGCCCAGCCCACCUCCCCCACGGACAUCCUCAGCGUCACUGCAGAAAACUAGUAAUCUGCUGGCUGCUGUCUGAUCAUGUGCAAAGUCAGUUUUUUAAGCAGAAGAGCAAAUGAAGGUAGAUAGUUGAGUUAAGCUGGUCGUCCUGGGGAGUUUUGCUAUAUUAGAACAUGUCAGCAAAGGCUGGACCGGAGGGUCACUGCUGUUCCCUAGAAGUACAAUCAUGUAAAACUGUGGAAUGAUGAACUCACUGGCCAGUGCAUCAGGUGUCCCUGCUCAGUAUUGCAAACAGCCUGAUCUUCCAUACAGUGAAUCACCUAUAGCUACGAAUGAAUACAUCCAGCACACAAACAUGCCCCAAGAUAAGGAGAACCUCAAUAGCGGCAGAACCUGAGUCAUGGACUGGCAUAGCUGGGCGUCCAGCAGCGCCGCCAGAGGAGAUAAGGGAACCGGGCCGUGGGUUCAUUCCGAGGGGACGCACUCUCCCUUUUUUAAGAGGCACCAGCCCCCCCCGACGUCUCGGAAUAAGCCCGGCAGCCCUGAUGUCGGGCUAGCGCGUAGCUGGCUGCCACGUGCCUUCCCAUGUUCCGGAAUGUUCCAGAACAGUCGACAGGAGGCGGAGAAAGAAGCUGUCUGCUCUACGGUCACGUUUAUGCCGAUGUCUUUUUGCUGUCCGCUUCUUGCAAAAAGUGAUUUAAUCUUCGAUUUAAUCUUUAAAACAACAUGUGUGCAUGUUUUAUAUGUAUAGCUGCCAAUCACUUUGUUAGUCAUCAGAUGGAAUAUAAUCAAUGUCAAAAGCAGAAACACAUAAAUAAUAAAUGCUUCAAAAAAUAAA